rnacentral:rRNA from 1 species
GAUGAACGCUAGCGGCAGGCCUAACACAUGCAAGUCGAGGGGCAGCACGUCUUCGGAUGGUGGCGACCGGCGCACGGGUGCGUAACGCGUAUGCAACCUACCUCUUACAGUGGGAUAGCCCAGAGAAAUUUGGAUUAAUACCGCAUAGUAUACAGAUUCAGCAUUGGGACUGUAUUAAACAUUUAUGGGUAAGAGAUGGGCAUGCGUUCUAUUAGUUAGUUGGAGUGGUAACGGCACCCCAAGACAGCGAUAGAUAGGGGCCCUGAGAGGGGGAUCCCCCANACUGGUACUGAGACACGGACCAGACUCCUACGGGAGGCAGCAGUGAGGAAUAUUGGACAAUGGGCGAGAGCCUGAUCCAGCCAUGCCGCGUGCAGGAAGACGGCCCUAUGGGUUGUAAACUGCUUUUGUAC